AGAUGCAUAAGGGAACAAGAAUGCAUGAACAAAAAUCAUGUAAAAAACAAUUAUUUGAACUCAAAUGAUAAAUGAGCUCCGGCUAAAAAAUGAAAGUUCUAGUGAAUUUAAGAACAAUAAAUGUCCAUGAAUAUGUUUUAAAAUGACAAGAAAAAUAGAAUUGAAUAAAUGUCAAUAAAUACUUGAGAAAUAUGGAUAGUCAGUGCUUCACUUUUUCACUUGACUUUAAACAUGCUAACUGAUUCUAUUCCAUAGGAAUAUGAUGAAAA
rnacentral:lncRNA from 1 species